rnacentral:pre_miRNA from 1 species
CGAACAACAUUCGGACCGUCGGUCUACCGAGCAAUGGCAAUUGCUCGGUGGAAGAUCUUUCCUUUGUUGUACACC